GCGGCAACAGCUCAAAUUUGAAAUCUGGUCCCCCCGCGGGGCCCGAGUUGUAAUUUGAAGAGGAUGCUUCUGGCAAGGUGCCGUCCGAGUUCCCUGGAACGGGACGCCGCAGAGGGUGAGAGCCCCGUACGGUCGGACGCCGAGCCUCUGUGAAGCUCCUUCGACGAGUCGAGUAGUUUGGGAAUGCUGCUCAAAAUGGGAGGUAAACCCCUUCUAAAGCUAAAUACCGGCCAGAGACCGAUAGCGCACAAGUAGAGUGAUCGAAAGAUGAAAAGCACUUUGAAAAGAGAGUUAAAAAGCACGUGAAAUUGUUGAAAGGGAAGCGCUUGCGACCAGACUCGCGCCCGUCGGAUCAGCCGUCGCUCGUCGGCGGCGCACUCCGGCGGGCUCGGGCCAGCAUCAGUUCGCCUCGGGGGGAGAAAGGCGGCGGGAAUGUGGCUCUACGGAGUGUUAUAGCCCGCCGCGUAAUACCCCCGGGCGGACUGAGGACCGCGCGUAUGCAAGGAUGCUGGCGUAAUGGUCGUCAGCGACCCGUCUUGA
rnacentral:rRNA from 1 species